AUUGAACGCUGGCGGAAUGCUUUACACAUGCAAGUCGAGCGGCAGCACGGGGGCAACCCUGGUGGCGAGCGGCGAACGGGUGAGUAAUACAUCGGAACAUGCCCAGUCGUGGGGGAUAACACUUCGAAAGAAGUGCUAAUACCGCAUACGUCCUGAGGGAGAAAGCGGGGGAUCGCAAGACCUCGCGCGAUUGGAGUGGCCGAUGUCAGAUUAGCUAGUUGGUGGGGUAAAGGCCUACCAAGGCAACGAUCUGUAGCUGGUCUGAGAGGAUGAUCAGCCACACUGGGACUGAGACACGGCCCAGACUCCUACGGGAGGCAGCAGUGGGGAAUUUUGGACAAUGGGGGCAACCCUGAUCCAGCCAUUCCGCGUGAGUGAAGAAGGCCUUCGGGUUGUAAAGCUCUUUCGGCAGGAACGAAACGGCGAGCUCUAACAUAGCUUGCUAAUGACGGUACCUGAAGAAGAAGCACCGGCUAACUACGUGCCAGCCGCCGCUGUAAUAC
rnacentral:rRNA from 1 species